CGGGAUGUAGCGCAGCCUGGUAGCGCACCUCGUUCGGGACGAGGGGGCCGGAGGUUCAAAUCCUCUCAUCCCGACCA
rnacentral:tRNA from 2 species